UGCCAUGAACUCUAGCCAAUGAUGCGAAGUGUAUUAAGUAAAUCAGAUCUGUUCACCUACACUCUCCUGUUUGCACAGUAAGGACAGCCUAACCCUCUGCCAUUGUAACAAUCCGCAUUCCGCGAUGAAAGCUCGAGCCAAUAUUGGACAUUUUUCAGGAUCAUUGGCUCACGCGUGAAGGAAUUCUCUCACCUUUUGAAUCCCUCUCCCCCAAAGAAGAGGCCAUACACUCGCAUUUCCUGCCUUCCCAGUAGUAAAACUUGAACUAACCUAGGCUCCGUCGGUCAGGUGCACCUGGAUGACAAUGUGGUUUGAAGAAGAGCGAGGCUACUGGUUUUGAUUUUGGCCUCCAAAAGAUUUCAUGUUUCCUUGAGAAUAGUUCCAGACCAAGGAAAUCAAAU